CGUCCCCCCCGCCAGGCCGGCCAAUCAGCACCGCCGAGGCUCGGGGGCUUGGCCCGGCCGCCCGCAGACCUGGGCCUCGCACCUCGCGCCCGGAUGCCGCUCUCUCCCCGCGCGGUCACCCGUUCCCUGGGAAGCAGAGUGGGCAGCUGUGGCAGAUGGGACUGAUGGGACGAGGACGACGCGUGGAAAUGACUGUGAGGGUGGACAGAGGCCUGGGAACUCUGAACGGAGAAGGUGGAAAGGGCCUUCAGCGGAAGUCCAGGUUACUUACUAAAGCGGAAUGGAAGCCAACAGAUACCAGCGUUUAUAUUUUAUUCAACUUUAUUAAAAAUUAAAACUACAGAAACCAAACCGAAUGCACAAAUAAGAGAGUGGGGAAACAGACAGGGAGCAAUGGCAGCUGAUAACUGUGGCGAGUGGAUAAUCCGCAUGACUCACAUCCCACCCCUGCGACUGAGGAGCCCAGAACGCUGCGCUGGCACUGUCGUGCCCUCUUCCACCACAGGGGCACAGAAACCUGCAGGAGACUGAAAACGAUUACAAACAUCUUCAACCAGCUCUCUGGCCAAAGG
rnacentral:lncRNA from 1 species